rnacentral:rRNA from 1 species
ACAAUGGAGAGUUUGAUCCUGGCUCAGGAUGAACGCUAGCUACAGGCUUAACACAUGCAAGUCGAGGGGAAACGAUAGAGAAAGCUUGCUUUUUCUAGGCGUCGACCGGCGCACGGGUGAGUAACGCGUAUCCAAUCUGCCCACCACUUGGGGAUAACCUUGCGAAAGUAAGACUAAUACCCAAUGACGUCCAUAGAAGACAUCUGAAAUGGAUUAAAGAUUUAUCGGUGAUGGAUGGGGAUGCGUCUGAUUAGCUUGUUGGCGGGGUAACGGCCCACCAAGGCGACGAUCAGUAGGGGUUCUGAGAGGAAGGUCC